AACCAAUCGACUCUUCCAAUCCCAAUUUGAACGACUUUUUUUGAUUUUUUUGGCUGGGUUGGAGUCGACGAUUGAGGGCAUCAAGAACGAUUUGGGUUCUUCUCCUAUUCACUUUCUUAUUCCUCAAUCCACCAUUGCUUUGCUUUCCAACUCUCCCAUCAACCUUAGCUCCUUCUAAAGUACCCUUGUUCCAAUUUGAACUAUUCUCACAGUUUUCACUCAAUUUCUUCACUGGAAAUCUCUUACCGGACUGGACCCAUUUUCCAAAUCGUUUAAGCUCUUAGCCCCAUCAUCCAAUACAUCGAUUCUUUGAUAAGGUUUCAAAUUUACAAUUGGUAGUUUUUUAAGUGGUUGAAGGUCCUUUCAACGACAAAGAACAACUAUAAGUAAAACCAUGAGAAAAAGCUACUGAAGAAAGUCAAUUUUUUGGAAUGGAAGAGCGAAGGAGGCCACAGAUAGUCUCAUGUUAUGCAGCGCUAUCAUGUUACUGGUCGUGACGAUUAUAAGAAGUAUUCGAGUUUGUGUCGAAUGGUGCAUAAAUUGCUGAACAUAUUGAUGAAGAUGCUAUACUGGGGGCACUAAAGCAGAGCUUGAGGCAGUUAGAAACACUUGGUGCUGAACGGGCUGUUCUAGAAGACAUGCUCAAAGAUAUGAAGAGGAAGGAUGAUAUAUUACCAAAGUUGAUGACAUCAACUGGCUCCUUUGAGGACCUUUUCAGGAAAGAGAUAGCAAAGUACGAUCAUAUAUGUGAAGAUAUUGCCCACAAUAUCGAUGCACAAGAACAAUUAUUGAUGCAAAUCCAGGCCCGAAAUGAGGACUUUGCCGCCAUCUUCUUUGGUAUAUUUGACAUGAGAAUCGGUUAGUAUCUCCACUCUUCUGUUUCUCUCCACCUAGAUCCAUCGUCUUUUUCAACUUCAUCUAUCGUUCGUUCUGUUAUCUUGAACAGGUUUGUAUCACUAUUACCGCUCUAAAAUUUACCUGCUUGUGAGAAGCGGGAAAUAUAAGGUUACUAUGGUGAAAAGUAUAAAAAGUUACUGUAAAUAUGAAUUUGUAUAGUAUGUUGGAAGGAAAACCAAAAUGCUCUUUUCAAUGUCUGGUUCAUUCUCAUGAAUGUGCAGCACCAGAUCAUCAAUAAGUCUAUGCAAUUUUAUUAGAUAGAAGUAUAAAAAGUAUAAAAUUUGUAUGCAAUUUUAUUCUAAAGCUUCUCAUAUGGAAUAUAACAUUUUAGAAGUGUAGUUUAGUUAGUUUGAAACUUAAGUUGCAUGUAAUAAUCUUUUCCCUUUUAACAUGCUGAUGUUUUAUCAAAUAGUCCCCUUUCUUUUUAUUGUGGCUGCUAUGAAAAUAAUAGGUAAUACUGGCCACAAAUAUUGCUGAAUCAUCUGUGACAAUACCUAAGGUGGCCUUUGUCAUUGAUUCAUGCCGAUCUUUACAAGUAUUUUGGGAUAAUACCUAGAAAAAUGAAUUUGCAGAGCUAACCUGGGUUUCCAAGUCUCAGGCUGACCAGCGUAGGGGUAGAACUGGAAGAACUUGUGAUGUGUGGGUUUAUCGGUUGGUAACUGGAUCAUUUUUCAGCCAGUUUGAGGACUAUGAGCCUCCCUCUAUACUGAGGUUGUCUUUGAGGCAGCAAGUGCUUCAAAUUUGCUGUGCUACCUCUAAAGCAAUCAAUGACGCAAAGGUUUUGCUGUAGAGGGCUCCAGAUCCUCCACGCCCAGAGGUUGUUGAGGAUGUGUUAAAUUUGUUAGUUCACAUGCGUACAUUGGAGAAAACAUCUCCAAGGGGUCGGUAUGAACCUACAUUUUAUGGACGAAUGCUUGCAAGCUUUUCUCUAUCCUUUGAUGCUUCUGUUUUAAUACUUUUGGACACAUUGGGAUGCUGAAGGAAGGCAUUGUUUUGGGUGUAAUUGAUGGAUACACAACCCCUACCCAUUCUGCGUCCUUUUGGUGUGAACUUUUGAGUACAGAGUAUAUGGACUGCUAUUUCGCGGAAGAUAGUGAUAACACUGGCCUAACUGGCAAGAAGGAGAUAAUACUAAUGGAAAAUUUAUGUGCAUUUCAGUUUUGGCAACGGGUGUUCAAGGUAAUAUUAGACAACUUUUUUUUAAUGUCCUUACAAUGGAUUUGUCUUACAUUAUGAAGGAUAAGCUACCCGUUGACCAUUUGAAGCAAAUUUUACUAUUUAAUCCAAUCAAAGCUUCUACUUCACUUGCUACCAAGCUUGAAGAAGAAUUGUGCUUCCUUUAUAAUCUUGUACAAUCAUCUCUGGAUCAUAUUUCUGAAAUAUGUAUAAUAAUCUUGUAUAUGUCAU